rfam:Nitrospirae bacterium GWF2_44_13 gwf2_scaffold_2461, whole genome shotgun sequence.
GGAGAGGUUCCCGAGUGGCCAAAGGGAGCAGACUGUAAAUCUGCCGGCUCUGCCUUCGGAGGUUCAAAUCCUCCCCUCUCCA